rnacentral:rRNA from 1 species
GACGAACGCUGGCGGCGCGCUUAACACAUGCAAGUCGAGCGAGAACCAGGGCUUCGGCCCUGGGGACAGCGGCGAACGGGUGAGUAACACGUGGAUAACCUGCCCUCGGCACCGGGAUAGCCCGGGGAAACCCGGAUUAAUACCGGAUGGCCCUUCCGGCUCACGAGCCGGUCGGAAAAGGUAGCUUCGGCCUCCGGCCGAGGAUGGGUCCGCGGCGGAUUAGCUUGUUGGUGGGGUAACGGCCCACCAAGGCUCCGAUCCGUAGCUGGUCUGAGAGGACGAUCAGCCACACUGGGACUGAGACACGGCCCAGACUCCUACGGGAGGCAGCAGUGGGGAAUCUUGCGCAAUGGGCGAAAGCCUGACGCAGCGACGCCGCGUGAGGGAGGAAGGCCUUCGGGUUGUAAACCUCUUUCAGGAGGGACGAAGCUACUCGGGUGAAUAGCCCAGAGGGUGACGGUACCUCCAGAAGAAGCCCCGGCUAACUACGUGCCAGCCGCCGCAGUAA